CGUGAUUUUUCCCUUGUAGUUAAGGUAGCUCUCGUAGUAAUCAACAAAAAAUACUAAGGUAUCAUUAUUUUUUGUAGAGUUUUUUUAAUUUUUACUAAGACAAAUGGGUUUAAAGGCAUUGCGUAUUUUCUUCACCAAAAAUGUGUUUUUGAAUACAAAAAACAUAAAAGUAAUUUUUGGAAAAAUUGUUGGGAUUUGGAAAAAAUGUUCAAAUAAAAG